UACAGAGGUCCCAAGCGUUGUUCGGAUUCAUUGGGCGUAAAGGGUGCGUAGGCGGCGCGGUAAGUCGGGUGUGAAAUCUCGGGGCUUAACUCCGAAACUGCAUUCGAUACUGCCGUGCUUGAGGACUGGAGAGGAGACUGGAAUUUACGGUGUAGCGGUGAAAUGCGUAGAUAUCGUAAGGAAGACCAGUGGCGAAGGCGGGUCUCUGGGCCGAUAUUGACGCUGAGGAGCGAAAGCGUGGGGAGCGAACAGG
rnacentral:rRNA from 1 species